UAUGGCGAGGGGAGGGGGAGCGACAGCUGCGCGCGCGUCGCUCUCCCCGCGCCGCCGCACUCCGCCAUCGAUCGUCGCGCGCGCAGCACGUACGCAGCGCCUCGAGUUAACGUUCGCGAGUUCAUGAACAAUCAACAAAGUUUAUUCAAUGGAGUCGACGUGUUGAGAAGCUCUCGUCGUCAGGGGCCCGGGUGGCUGGGUCGUGAUUGGCGCUAUAUUCGGUUAGCGAGCGAUAUUGCACCAGUCCCGGCCUAUCCAAACGGGCCCGGCCUUCGGAGACCGCUACAUGGCUACAAGACAGCAUCCGCGGCGCGCGGUCCCGUUACCCGGCCAGUCUCGACGGUCGUUCACUGCGCAGGCCUCGCAUAGGGCGUGAUUCGGUGUAACUGUUGUGUUAGCUAUCAAAUUGCACCAAUCCCGGCCUGCAUGCGGUCAAUGCUGGUGAGAGUGUUGUCUUUGUGUGAUGCCGACUGGCCCGGCAGUGCACGUGGCGGUGACAAUCCAGUAAAUUGCCAGGAUGUCAUCUUCAGUGUGGCAACCCUUUAUGGAAGCGUUCAAUUGCCAGCACCAAGCGAGAGCGGGACAAGAGAUACAACACGCACGUGUUAGAGCGAGAGCGGCGAGGGAACAGCCGCCAUAUUGCCUUUCAUUGGGCGAACGGAAGAGUAAAGAAGAUGAAUUUUCAAGGAUACAGAAAAAUCCGCGAGGCUUUCCUACGGGUCAUCAGUUGGACCGGAUUCGUAUCUACGCUCAUCGAAUAGAAGGCAGAGGUCAUAUCCACUGGACUGUCAUGGCUUCCUAUUCCAUCUCAGAAUGCAGUACCUACAAGUAUACUUCAGUGAACUACCUGGAGGGAAGGAUCCCAUCUCCCCCCUAAACAUUAACCUAAUGCAAAGCUAGUAAAGUCCUAAUUCCAUUUACCAUUCAGUCGAGUCUUUGCAAUAACAAUCACCAUAGAGAGCAGGGUUUCUCAAACUUUAGGCUCCACGAACCCCUGUUAAAAUUUCUAAAUGACAGCGAACCCCUUACUAACUAAUGGGGAACCCCCCCCCCCCUAAGAUAAAAGACUAUUGAAAAAAUAAAGUACUAAAUUAAAGUGAUGGGUGUCCUUGUUUUUUGUCGCAAAUGGUAUUAAUUUUGGACAAUUUUAACCUUAAUUCUGACUCGGUAUCGGUUAUCAAGACACCAUUACGUAAAUCUCGUCGCGAACCCCCUACCGUCAAAUGCCGAACCCCUAGGGGUUCGCGUACCCCAUUUUGAGAAAUCCUUCCAUAGAGGUAUAGUGCUACAAUUAGUAAUGCAUGCUCUCUACCUACAAAAUGAAUACUUUUCUUACAAUAAAAACGUAUUUCAUAAGUUAACAAGUAUUUUUGACUCGUCAAAUUUGACUAUUUUGAAAAAACUCAAAGGUGUGAUUUGGUGAAAAUUCACUGAAGAAUUUUCUUGCGGUUCUUUUGAGUCUUGCUCUUGGACCUUUGCGGCGGCAGCGGGCCUCAAAAUGCCAAUAAAUGAAAAUAAAAUGAGCCUCUUCCACGAAAUCUACUGUAAUGUAAGAGUUAGUGGGAAAUUUCGAGAAGUUAGUCAUUCUUGUUAUAUAAUAACGAAUCGACGUCCCGUGGUUUUAUCCGCGUAGUACCCGUUCCCGUGGGAAUACUGUGAUAGAAUAUAGUCUAUGACACUCCUAACUAACUAGUUUUCUAGUGGUAAAAAAUUUUUCAAAAUUGGUUCAGCUCAUCCAGAGAGCCCCUUAUAAUACAACAAACUUUACCUCUUUAUAAUAUUAGUAUGUUGUUUUUAAUAUUAGUGUAUAUUAGUAUGUUGUUUUUAAUAUUAGAGUCUCCUGUCAGAAUGAGGGGUAAGGCUUAGGCUUCACACUCGCAGAGAAUUAAGAAAAUUCACAGGCAUGCAGGUUUCCUCACGAUGUAUUCCUUCACCGUUUGAGACACGAGAUAUUUAAUUUCUUAAAAUGCACACAACUGAAAUGUUGGAGGAGCCCUCUGAGGGCGCCUUUUUUAAAUCAGAUAUUAUUUAUUUAUUACUUAUAUUAAAUAAUAUUUUUAUCAUUAAAUAGUAAGUAAGUAUUACAAAUAUCAUUGUUAAUUUAUUUAUUUCAGGCCACCAUCUCUCGGACUAUACGUUGAAAAAAGCUCAACCAAAACUAGUUAAGUAAAUUUUUACGACAACGGUCAUUACGAUCUGGCGCACCGCUUUAAAUGGUUUAUAGUUAACAUUAAUUUGUAGUUAAUUUGGUGAUCGGUUAACAGGGUGACCAAAUCCUUUAUAUUCGGGGGAAAAUUCAGGAAGCUCCGGAUGGAUUUUUUUUUUUUGGAAAAAUAGGCUACUUUUAGGCAAGCGUAGAAACUUUGCCAGAGUGGAUCCCUAGGAUUUGAUAAAACGGGGGGGAUACAAUGAUUUAUUUGUACAAGUCAUAAUUCAACAUGCAUGAAAUGUUAAUUAAUAAAAUGUACCUAAUACAUAAGUAACUGUUGGAAAAAGCAUUUUGUCUUUAAUUUUUAGACAUUAAAUAAAUAAUAGUAACACAAUGUGAUUUUUAGUGACAUAAUAUGGAAUAUUUUUUUUUUAACAUACUUACAUGUUGACCGAGUACUCGAAGACGCCAGAACCGAUUUGGAAAAAUAUAUUUUUUGUUUGAAAGUACUUACUUUUCAGUUGGUCUCAUAAUAAUCAUCUUAGGACCUGAUGAUGGGAUGGGAGGGGAAAUUUCGAAAACUGUAGGAGCGACCAGUGUAUUCCUUAAUGUUUUUUUUAUUCUUUACAAGUUAGCCCUUGACCUCACCUGAUGGUAAGUGAUGAUGUACUCUAAGAUGGAAGCGGGCUAACUUGUUAAGAGGAGGAUAAAAAUCCACACCCCUUUCGUUUUCUACACGGCAUCGUACCGGAACGCUAAAUCGCUUGACGGUACGUCUUUGCCGGUAGGGUGGUACCUAGCCACGGCCAAACCUUCCACCAGCCGGGGAUCGAAUCCAGGACCUCCGUUUUGUAAAUCCACCGCGCAUACCACUGCGCCACGGAGUAUUUAAAGUGCUAAUUUAUUUUACGGAACCCUACACUGCACGUGGUUCGACACGUACUUGGCUGUCGUAAAAAAUAUUUUGAAAUUUAUGUUUUGUUGUGGUUAGGAUUUGGAAAAAUCAGAGUAAAGUCGGGAAUAUUUACAGACAAAAAUAAUGGACACCCAAGUUAAUCGACAGUCAAGUUAACAGGCCUUUUACAGACCUGAUUGAUUUCUUUUUAUAUUCGGUGACAGGUACAACGUUUGACUGCGAGCUCACUUGGUGGUGAAUGAACACGCAGUUCGACGACCUCUGUGUCUUAGUUGGAAGUGCCUUACUGUAGAAUAUAGAUGUCCUGGGUUUGAUUCUUAGUAUAGUCAAUUUUUUAAUAUAUACUAGUAGUACAAGCGGACGUCCACGAUUUCGUCCGCCCUUAGACCUCCUUAAUCCAGCCCUCUCGCAAUCUCCGAAUAAACUACCUCCCCGCCAAAUUGCAUCUUUGUAGGUCCACCGGUUUUGAGAUUUCGUGAUGAAGCCAUUUCUAACAGGACUACAUGAAACAACACUCUGCAAAAUCUAAAUCUAUAAGAUAUUCUCACAUGGCUUGAAUUAAUACAUCACCGGCUUAGCACCGCCUUCAUACUGAUCAGCAGGUAGAACAUAUUAUGAUGUUAUUUUUCGCUUUUUAGUUUAGUGGGUACGUUUUUAGGUUUUGAAGUCGGUUCUAUUUUUUUUAAUUAAAACUUUUUACAGCAAUACUACUGUAAGGGAUUGAACUAGAUUAAAAAGCGUCGACUAGUUUAAUCAUAUUUUUACUAUUCGACCCAAAUAUUGUUAUGGUCCAAGCUCAUAAGAGCUCCCCCUUACAUAAGGUAUUGACCUUAUCUAAGGGGGGAGGUCAGAAAUAUAGUUUAUACUAAAAAAAUAGAGUCGAUUUAAAUUCACAUCAUACCCACUUCGUCAUCAACACGUCUUAUUGUUGUUGUAUUUAGCAUCGUACAAAUGUGUAUGAUAAUUAAUUAAUUGUAUUGCAAUUUAUGUACGUCAAUUAUAUAUUUAUUAAUAAAGUGUUAUUAAUACACAAUUAUGUUUGUGUGACGUUGAUUCUGUGUAUAAAUUCGUAUAUUAUUUACAUUGUAAAUGUCACUGGCCUAUAAAUAAAUCUUACUAUAGAAUUGA